UACGUAGGGGGCUAGCGUUGUCCGGAAUCAUUGGGCGUAAAGAGCGUGUAGGCGGUCCGGUAAGUCCGCUGUGAAAGUCGGGGGCUCAAACCCUCGAAUGCCGGUGGAUACUGUCGGGCUUGAGUACGGAAGAGGCGAGUGGAAUUCCUGGUGUAGCGGUGAAAUGCGCAGAUAUCAGGAGGAACACCAAUUGCGAAGGCAGCUCGCUGGGACGUUACUGACGCUGAGACGCGAAAGCGUGGGGAGCAAACAGG
rnacentral:rRNA from 1 species